UACAGAGGUCUCAAGCGUUGUUCGGAUUCAUUGGGCGUAAAGGGUGCGUAGGCGGCGCGGUAAGUCGGGUGUGAAAUCUUGGAGCUUAACUCCGAAACUGCAUUCGAUACUGCCGUGCUUGAGUGCGGCAGAGGAGACUGGAAUUCCUGGUGUAGCAGUGAAAUGCGUAGAUAUCAGGAGGAAUACCGAUGGCGAAGGCAGGUCUCUGGGCUGACACUGACGCUCAUGCACGAAAGCGUGGGGAGCAAACAGG
rnacentral:rRNA from 1 species